GAUCAGCAUGCCGCGGUGAAUACGUUCCCGGGUCUUGUACACACCGCCCGUCACACCACGAGAGUUUACAACACCCGAAGUCGGUGAGGUAACCGCAAGGAGCCAGCCGCCGAAGGUGGGGUAGAUGAUUGGGGUGAAGUCGUAACAAGGUAGCCGUA
rnacentral:rRNA from 1 species